GGGGUUGAGGUUCAGUGGUGAGAGCAUCUGCACUGCAUGCAGAAGGUUUCAGGGUUGAUCCCCGGCGUCUCCU